UAAUGGCCAAACAAUCUUUAUAAAAGUUCACAUUGUUGUUGUUGCAGAUGAAAUAUAACACGGAUAACAUUAAAUAAAUAUUUUUUAUCAGGUUAAAUAUUGAUUAUUAGUCACACAAACCCCUUUAUCUAAACCGUCGGUCAUGUUCUGUAGUUUUUGAAACACCUUUUACUUGUGUCUGUAGCUCUGAACCGAAUUCUCCUCCAAAGUGCAAUGGGUUGUGCGCAAUAUUAGACAUUAUAGUGUGCACGGAUCCACACUUUGAAAAUCUACCAGAAAUAGUAGACCAUUUAGGAACUUCUGACAUACUCUUUUCAACAUACUAUGCUUUGAGACACACUUAUUUCAAUCUCACAUACUGUUUGGGAUUGACAGUAUUGACAUUGGGACGCAGGGAGGGUUAUGUCACAGAUUCAGCCAUCCCAUCAGCACAAGACACUACAACUCCACCCACUCAUUCACUCUCACCAGAAUAUUAACCUGCAACACCUGUCACCACUUAUUAAGGACUCCUACAUAUACUCAUCCAUGCCAUCAUCAGUUUGUCUGGUCUCAUCAUUCACUACGUGUAUAUGGACUUACUUGACUCUCUCUUCAUCUGUGCCUACCUGCCUUCAGCACACUACCCUCUUUUCAAGUCAUCAAGCAUCUGCAAAACAAAGAACGAUAUUCAGAGGAGGCAUUUGUGAGGACAGACUUGCAGCUGCUUUUCUGCUCCAUAUACUCAAGGUGACAGAGAGGAUGAGAAAGGGGAAAAAAAGAAACAAAGGCCACUCUACACUGACCAGUCCAACUGCUCUGAGACUCCAGGCCAUCUGCUGUUAAACACACACACGCAAACACACAGCGGACCAGCGCGAUAAAUGUAAAAUUGCUCCACUGAGAGACACUCUGGAUAGAUAUUAUUAGCCGAUUAAUAAUUACUUAAUGAGUUUAUAAUAGGCCCGUGACUGCAACUAAAUGAUUUAGAUCUGCAGGUGAAUAUGGCCCGUUUGGGUUUUAUUCUUUGAGCGUAUAUUAUUAACAGUUUAUCGUUACAGGUUUAGCCUUUUCUACAGCACAUUCAUUCCACAUUACUGGGGCUUUACCUUCCAGAAAACAUCAGGGAUAUUUCCUUACACACCCAUCCACCCAGAUUUGUACUCGCAGGCAUGCUAAUGUACGCACACUAAUGGAUGUUUUAGGUGUCAGCACAUGACAUUUGCAAGGGCUUUCACAACACACCAGAUAAGCAAAAAGACAGAGAGAGUCAUCCAACACGGAGCCACCCAGCACAAGGCCGGUUAUGACAACCAUUUAGCCAGAAUUAGCUGGCAAAUUGACUAGGCUUUUACAUGUAGCUCUAUAUUACCCAUGGGGCAUUGUGAGGUUUUGAGAAGCCCUGGGCUAAAACUGACCAUGGCCUGCACCGUGAAUUUCAUGCCAGCCUAAAAGUGCUCGGGUCCCUAUGGGGAUUGAGGAAAUGUGGACGACUCAAAUGGAGGGGCAAAUGGAGACACAAGUUUGUACAGUGUCAGAAAGUCUGUGUGUUUUAAAGGGACAGGUCAUACAAAAACUGAACAUUCUGUCUUCAUUUACUCACUCUCGUGUCAUUCCAAACUAGAAUUCUGUUCUUCAUGCUCUUUUCCAUAUAGCGACAGUCCAAAUUAUUUAUUUGCUAUAUUUUUCAUUUUAAAGCCAUAAGAUAGCU